rnacentral:rRNA from 1 species
AACGAACGCUGGCGGCAGGCUUAACACAUGCAAGUCGAACGCAUCCUUCGGGGUGAGUGGCAGACGGGUGAGUAACACGUGGGAACGUACCUUUCGGUUCGGGAUAACCCAGGGAACUUGGGCUAAUACCGGAUACGUCCUGAGGGAGAAAGAUUUAUUGCCGAGAGAUCGGCCCGCGUCUGAUUAGCUAGUUGGUAGGGUAAUGGCCUACCAAGGCGACGAUCAGUAGCUGGUCUGAGAGGANGAUCAGCCACACUGGGACUGAGACACGGCCCAGACUCCUACGGGAGGCAGCAGUGGGGGAA